ACUUACUGCACUUCUCUGCCUCAUCAUGGCCAUCAUACUUUGACUUGUGACAGGAUUCAUUAGAAGUGAAAUUGAAGGAGCUGAAUCUUCAUGACCGUCAUUAGUGCACGCAGAGCAGUGCUGUCGUUCCAUCAGCAAAUGCGAGGUGUCGAGCCUCGUUGACGGACUGGUGACGCUUCUCGCUUCACACUACGCCACAUACAACGUAUAACUGAAUGCAGUCAGCGCAGCUGUGGUAUCUGAAGAGGUACUCUGCCAGCCUAAGUUCUCCAUCUGCAGGAGUGCAUCCAAUAGUGACCACGAGGAGAGGUGUCGACUGGGUAAUGUCUGCUGUUUGGCCCGACCGCGGAACCUACAGAAGCAAAGUAGCACGCAGCCUGGGUAGCCCCACGGCGAAGAUUCUGCUGAGUUCCUGGCGCGCGCCCUCCAAACCUGCGCUCAUUAUUUCCCCGAUUGUCUCUGCCCCUCCAGUGUAGACUUGUGAAGGUGGCCCUGCUGUCCCGCUUUGGUCAUUUCCUUGCCAAAGUAUUGGUAGGUGGCUGCCUGCCAGCAGGCUCCUAUGUGGAGCCUUUACGGAUCCUUGUGGAGCCUUUACGGCGAUGGCCCCUUGGGGCCAUCGCCUCGAACCCCUCGGGGACCGCCGAAAACAGGAUCCAGGCCGCCUCACCUCCCCAGGGUCCUGGCCGCCUCACCU